UCAUGGUCUUAUAGUGAAAUAUUUUUUCUCAUUUAUUUCUACAGAAUCCCACAACAUUGCCUUGAAAUUUGUUCUUGCAAUACUUCACUGAAGUUCAUUAGAAAAGAUGCCAUCACAAGAAAUGCUAUUUUUUUUUUUUUAACAAAGCUGGCCUUAAAAUUAGUUCGUUCUUCAUAGUGGCAUAUAGAAGUGGUAUAUUUGGAAUUUAUAGUGUGCUCCCUGGAAGAGGUCUUUGCCCUAGAUAGACACAUUUAUUUAGUCUUGGACGAGAGAAACAAUUUGAGGUGUUACUUUUAACACCAGGAUUAGAGAAUUGAUAACUAUCCAGAAUGAAAUACAGAUUAAGUCUGCUAAAACCAAAACAAUUUUUAUAGGAGGAUUUCCUCAUUUCGAAGUGUUUCUCAGGUCCAUGCUUACUUACCUCCAGUGUGGGAGAUUAGAGAAAAUAUAGUUAUCUUAGUCACAGCCGGACUGGGAAAGCAGUCAGGUUGAUAAAUAAUGGAACCCCAGAUAGCUGGCAAAGCCUGAUUUCUGGGCUGUUUGCAAGAGUGUUUCUGGAAGGCAUUAGCAUGUGAAUCUAUAGAUGGAGUAAAGACGGUCACCCUCCCUGACGUGGGUGGGCAUCAUCCAACCCAUUGAGGUCUGAAUAGAACAAGAAGGUGUAAGAAGGAAAAAUUUGGUCUCUGCUUGAGCUGAGACAUCCAUUUUCUUCUGUCCUUCAGAAUAGGCAUUCCUGGUUCUUGGGCCUUUGGACAUGGACAUGGACUUAUCCCAUUGGCGGCCCUGAAUCUCAGGCCUUUGGGUUUGGACUAAAAUGAUAGCACUGGCUUACCUGGACCUCUAGUUUGUAGAAAGCAGAUAGCCUUCUCAGCCUCCAUAAUCAGGUUCUGGGGUACAUGUGAAGAACUUGCAGGAUUGUUGGGUAGGUACAGAGAUGGUGAUGUGGUUUGCUGCCUCCAUCCCCAUCACCUAUACCUGGCAUUUCUCCCCAUGUUAUACCUCCCCAACUCCCUACCCCACAGUGUCCCUCCCUUAGUCCCCC
rnacentral:lncRNA from 1 species